CCGAGCUUCUACAAUAAGAAGUCUCCAUCCGAGGUUCCACGGCAACCGAUCUUCAUCCGAGCUUCUACAAUAAGAAGUCUCCAUCUGAGCUUCCACGGCAACCGAUCUUCGUCCGAGCUUCUACAGUAAGCGGCCUCCUUCCGGACUCCUACAAGAAUUGGACUCCGUCCAAACUUCUACAAUAGAAUUGAAUUCUAGACUCCUCCAGCGAUCAACCUUCCACAGUGUCCUCAAGACUCCUCCAGCGGACGAACUUCCACAACGCCUUU
rnacentral:lncRNA from 1 species